rnacentral:rRNA from 1 species
GAUUAAGUUAUUAAGGGCGCACGGUGGAUGCCUUGGCACUAGAAGCCGAUGAAGGACGUUACUAACGACGAUAUGCUUUGGGGAGCU